rnacentral:rRNA from 1 species
GCUGGCGGCAGGCCUAAUACAUGCAAGUCGAGCGCGCCCUUCGGGGUGAGCGGCGGACGGGUGAGUAACGCGUGGGAAUAUGCCCUUCUCUAAGGAAUAGCCUCUGGAAACGGAGAGUAAUACCUUAUACGCCCUUUGGGGGAAAGAUUUAUCGGAGAAGGAUUAGCCCGCGUUAGAUUAGGUAGUUGGUGGGGUAAUGGCCUACCAAGCCUACGAUCUAUAGCUGGUUUGAGAGGAUGAUCAGCCACACUGGGACUGAGACACGGCCCAGACUCCUACGGGAGGCAGCAGUAGGGAAUCUUAGACAAUGGGGGCAACCCUGAUCUAGCCAUGCCGCGUGUGUGAUGAAGGCCCUAGGGUCGUAAAGCACUUUCGCCAGAGAUGAUAAUGACAGUAUCUGGUAAAGAAACCCCGGCUAACUCCGUGCCAGCAGCCGCGGUAAUACGGAGGGGGUUAGCGUUGUUCGGAAUUACUGGGCGUAAAGCGCACGUAGGCGGAUUAGUAAGUUAGAGGUGAAAUCCCAGGGCUCAACCCUGGAACUGCCUUUAAUACUGCUAGUCUUGAGUUCGAGAGAGGUAAGUGGAAUUCCGAGUGUAGAGGUGAAAUUCGUAGAUAUUCGGAGGAACACCAGUGGCGAA